rnacentral:misc_RNA from 1 species
GGUGCAGCAACUGAGCGACCAUCUGAAAAGCAUGAAGGCGGCCAUAUUUCGAUUCUGAGUUUCAAGUUUAUUUAACAUUGCAUCAGAACAGGAUUGUCAUCUGGAAAUCUUGACCCUGAAAAGGAAGAAAAUGGAAUCUUUGCACUGCUUCUUUAUGGAUGCUUGUGUCUAAUUGCCAUAUAUGAACUUUGUUGAGAUCUGAAUAUAUAUUUUUAACACUUGGGAAUAUUUUUCUUUUAUUUAUUUUUGUUUUGAAAUAAAUUUGAGGCUUAUCAAAAAAA